CCUACGGGUGGCAGCAGUGAGGAAUAUUGGGCAAUGGCCGAGAGGCUGAACCAGCCAAGUCGCGUGAGGGAAGAAUGUCCUAUGGAUGGUAAACCUCUUUUGUCAGGGAGCAAAGUCACCAAAGUGUGGGUGUUGGAGAGUACCUGAAGAAAAAGCAUCGGCUAACUCCGUGCCAGCAGCCGCGGUAAUACGGAGGAUGCGAGCGUUUUCCGGAUUGAUUGGGUUAAAAGGGUGCGUAGGCGGGGUAUCAAGGCAGCGGUAAAGUCGGGGGGCUCACAUCCAUCCAGCCUUUGAAACUGGUGAUCUUGAGUGGACGAGAAGUAUGCGGAAUGCGUGGUGUAGCGGUGAAAUGCAUAGAUAUCACGCAGAACUCCGAUUGCGAAGGCAGCAUACCAGCGCCCGACUGACGCUGAAGCACGAAAGCGUGGGUAUCGAACAGGAUUAGAUACCCGGGUAGUC
rnacentral:rRNA from 1 species